UGCUUCCAAUAGCUCAGUUAGUAGAGCGUGAGACCCUUAAUCUUGAGGUUGUUGGUUCAAAGCCCCCAUUGGGCAA